AUGCAACACGGCGGCCUCCCUAGUCCGUACCUCGAUCGAUCGAAAGGUAGGUUCUUCUCGACGCCCCCUCCACAAAUCCCCACUUUGCGCCGGCGAAUCUUCUUGGCGAUGGCUGGUAAGCAGGGCCGCAAGAAGGCGAGGAGCCCCCCCGGAUGCCCUCAGCUGCGUCCGAGCGGCAGCACCGUCUCCGGAUCGAAGAAGCCUGCGGCGGCGACGGUUCCUUCGUGCAAGUACCACCUGUCGGAGGCGUCUGUCCAGGCGGUCCUAAACCACAAGAGGGUGCCUUUCGUCAUUGGGGACUACUUCGACGACCUGACCCCUGAGGAGCAGCAACUCACGCUCGAGGUGGCCGCCCAGCACGAGGAGGUCGAGGACAGGUACGCCAAGUACCAGGAAAGAGUCCGCAAGGAGCUGGAUGAGAAGGGAUUCGUCGCGCUCCCCGAUGACGUUGACAAGAGGAGGGCCGCGCUGAACGCGCGCUGA
rnacentral:rRNA from 1 species